AGCAGUAGCCGCGGUAUCCGAAGGGUGCAAGCGUUACUCGGAAUUACUGGGCGUAAAGCGUGCGUAGGUGGUGGUUUAAGUCCGUUGUGAAAGCCCUGGGCUCAACCUGGGAAUUGCAGUGGAUACUGGGUCACUAGAGUGUGGUAGAGGAUAGUGGAAUUUCCGGUGUAGCAGUGAAAUGCGUAGAGAUCGGAAGGAACAUCUGUGGCGAAGGCGACUAUCUGGGCCAACACUGACACUGAGACACGAAAGCGUGGGGAACAAACAGGAUUAGAUACCCCAGUAGUCCCUGUCUCUUAUACA
rnacentral:rRNA from 1 species